UACGUAGGGCGCAAGCGUUGUCCGGAAUUAUUGGGCGUAAAGAGCUCGUAGGCGGUUUGUCGCGUCUGCUGUGAAAACCUAAGGCUCAACCUUGGGCUUGCAGUGGGUACGGGCAGACUAGAGUGCGGUAGGGGUGACUGGAAUUCCUGGUGUAGCGGUGGAAUGCGCAGAUAUCAGGAGGAACACCGAUGGCGAAGGCAGGUCACUGGGCCGCAACUGACGCUGAGGCGCGAAAGCGUGGGUAGCAAACAGG
rnacentral:rRNA from 1 species